GGUGUUGUAGCUCAGUGGUAGAGCACUUGCCUAGCAUGUGUGAGCCCUGGGAUUCAAUCCCUAAUACCA
rnacentral:tRNA from 1 species